UACGUAGGGGGCUAGCGUUGUUCGGAAUUACUGGGCGUAAAGCGCGCGUAGGCGGACCUGCAAGUCGGGGGUGAAAGCCCGAGGCUCAACCUCGGAACUGCCUUCGAUACUGCGGGUCUCGAGUCCGGGGAGAGGUGAGUGGAAUUCCUAGUGUAGAGGUGAAAUGCGCAGAUAUCAGGAGGAACACCGGUGGCGAAGGCGGAUCUCUGGGCCUGUCCUGACGCUGGAGGCGCGAAAGCUAGGGGAGCGAACAGG
rnacentral:rRNA from 1 species